rnacentral:rRNA from 1 species
CAGCCGCCGCGGUAAUACGAAGGGGGCUAGCGAUGCUCGGAAUGACUGGGCGUAAAGGGCGCGUAGGCGGCGAUCAAAGUCAGGCGUGAAAUUCCUGGGCUCAACCUGGGGGCUGCGUUUGAUACUUGAUUGCUAGAGUGGGGAAGAGGGUCGUGGAAUUCCCAGUGUAGAGGUGAAAUUCGUAGAUAUUGGGAAGAACACCGGUGGCGAAGGCGGCGACCUGGUCCUUGACUGACGCUGAGGCGCGAAAGCGUGGGGAGCAAACAGGAUUAGAUAUCCCGGUAGUCCCUGUCUCUUAUAC